UAUUCUCUUGCAUAUUAAUUGUUUCUAACAUCAGGUUAUUAAUCAUUAUAACCUAAAUUUCACUUCGAAUCGAAAUGUUAUAUCAUUUAGCUCGACGAUAUUUAAGAAAAAGUACAUCGAUGAAAUUUCCCCUUUGUUUGUAAGUAGCACAAAAAAAGGGAAAUUUCCCUAACUUAACAACACUGUAUUUAAAUGUAAACAAAGUCGCAGAAGUGCAGAUAAACAACCAAAUGAAGCAAUUGCAUGCAACUGUUUUGUUCUACGGCUAAUCACAUAAGCAACAGUUGGUUAUUUCAUCAGAGUCUGGAACGUUCUGCAGGGGAUUUGAUAAUAAGAUCCAGAUUUUAUUAAAAACCAAGUAUCAUCAUGGAAGCCUCCAUUUGAAUGCCGCUCUUAAGUCAAAUACGUACAUGAUUGAAAUAUAAAAUUCUGUUAGAAAAAGCUAUUUUUCAUAAAAAUGUUUGGAAAUUGUUAAUGUUAAUGUAUACUAAAAGAAAGAUAGUUUAAUUAUCUUUUAAUCCAUAAUGAAUUAAAAAAAAUUCAUUUAUUUUGUAAAUGCUUCAAGGCUAUAUUUAUUGGUUUAUGCAAGUCAAAAGUACAUGUCGAAAUACAAAAUGUUGUUAGCAUGGGCUUUGUUUUAUAAGCAUGUUUAAAAAUAUACAAUGUUAACGCAUAUGAAAAUGGAGAUAGUUCAA